rnacentral:rRNA from 1 species
UACCUGCACCCCGAGUGGUCUGGACGAUUAUUGGGCCUAAAGCGUCCGUAGCCGGUUUUUCAAGUCCUCCGUUAAAUCCAGCUGCUUAACAGAUGGGCUGCGGAGGAUACUACAAGGCUAGGAGGCGGAAGAGGCAAGCGGUACUCAGUGGGUAGGGGUAAAAUCCUCUGAUCCAUUGAAGAACACCAGUGGCGAAGGCGGCUUGCCGAUACGCGCUCGACGGUGAGGGAUGAAAGCUGGGGGAGCAAACCGG